UAAUUAAUAAUUCACUGCUCACUGCUACACACCACUUUCAUCUUCCAAACAAAGACAUUGUCACACACACACACAUCAAGAAGAAGAAGAAGGAUUAAUAUCCCUAGCUAAUAAUGAUAAUAAUUAUACGUAGUAUCCUCAGAAACGCUUCAGGACUUGGACUUCUUGAGCUCUUUCCGUCGACUGGCAAACACUUCCCCAUGCCUCAUUAUCCAAAACCUCUCUAUUUCUUCAGCUUUCCGACCUGGAAUUCGACCGGCAAUCAAAGCCCACCUGUCUCCAACAAGCUUGUACAUUCUAUAAAUGAGAUCUUCUUCUUGUUCGGACAUGUUUAUGAACUCCCAUUCAAU
rnacentral:misc_RNA from 1 species